UGCCAGCCGCCGCGGUAACACGGGGGGCGCAAGCGUUAUUCGGAAUUAUUGGGCGUAAAGCGCGCGUAGGCGGCUAUUUAAGUCAGAUGUGAAAGUCCACGGCUCAACCGUGGAAGUGCAUUUGAUACUGAUAAACUUGAGUUCAGUUGGAGUAGGCGGAAUGUGUAGUGUAGCGGUGAAAUGCUUAGAUAUUACACAGAACACCGAUAGCGAAGGCAGCUUACUAAACUGAUACUGACGCUGAGGCACGAAAGCGUGGGGAGCGAACAGGAUUAGAUA
rnacentral:rRNA from 1 species